UCUGUAGAGGGCUCAGUCUCAAGUCCCAAAAAGAAAGAAGAAAAGGAACCACUGUAAUAGUAGACCAUCCGUGAGAGGGAGGAGGCUGCUGCACCCUGAGGCCUUCGUGGACCUGCAACUCGUGCUUCUCCAUUUCACCAGCAUUGAACCACACAGAAGGUAAACAAAGAGGGA